rnacentral:rRNA from 1 species
UAACGGCGAGUGAAGCGGCAACAGCUCAAAUUUGAAAUCUGGCUCUUUUAGAGUCCGAGUUGUAAUUUGCAGAGGGCGCUUUGGCUUUGGCAGCGGUCCAAGUUCCUUGGAACAGGACGUCACAGAGGGUGAGAAUCCCGUACGUGGUCGCUGGCUAUUGCCGUGUAAAGCCCCUUCGACGAGUCGAGUUGUUUGGGAAUGCAGCUCUAAAUGGGAGGUACAUUUCUUCUAAAGCUAAAUAUUGGCCAGAGACCGAUAGCGCACAAGUAGAGUGAUCGAAAGAUGAAAAGCACUUUGGAAAGAGAGUCAAACAGCACGUGAAAUUGUUGAAAGGGAAGCGCUUGCAGCCAGACUUGCUUACAGUUGCUCAUCCGGGUUUCUACCCGGUGCACUCUUCUGUAGGCAGGCCAGCAUCAGUUUGGGCGGUAGGAUAAAGGUCUCUGUCACGUACCUCCUUUCGGGGAGGCCUUAUAGGGGAGACGACAUACUACCAGCCUGGACUGAGGUCCGCGCAUCUGCUAGGAUGCUGGCGUAAUGGCUGUAAGCGGCCCGUCUUGAAACACGGACCAAGGAGUCUAACAUCUAUGCGAGUGUUUGGGUGUCAAGCCCGAGCGCGUAAUGAAAGUGAACGGAGGUGGGAACCCGCAAGGGUGCACCAUCGACCGAUCCUGAUGUCUUCGGAAGGAUUUGAGUAAGAGCAUGGCUGUUGGGACCCGAAAGAUGGUGAACUAUGCUUGAAUAGGGUGAAGCCAGAGGAAACUCUGGUGGAGGCUCGCAGCGGUUCUGACGUGCAAAUCGAUCGUCAAAUUUGGGCAUAUGGGCGAAAGACUAAUCGAACUAUCUAGUAGCUGGUUCCUGCC